rnacentral:rRNA from 1 species
ACAGGUUGACCUCGGAUCAGGUAGGAAUACCCGCUGAACUUAAGCAUAUCA